rnacentral:rRNA from 1 species
UAAGGAAUAUUGGUCAAUGGAGGCAACUCUGAACCAGCCAUGCCGCGUGAAGGAUUAAGGCCCUCUGGGUUGUAAACUUCUUUUAUAUGGGAAGAAAUGUUCUGAUUCUUCAGAGCUUGACGGUACCAUAGGAAUAAGCACCGGCUAACUCCGUGCCAGCAGCCGCGGUAAUACGGAGGGUGCAAGCGUUAUCCGGAUUCACUGGGUUUAAAGGGUGCGUAGGUGGGCAGAUAAGUCAGUGGUGAAAUCUUCCGGCUUAACCGGAAAAUUGCCGUUGAUACUAUUUGUCUUGAAUAUUGUGGAGGUAAGCGGAAUAUGUCAUGUAGCGGUGAAAUGCUUAGAUAUGACAUAGAACACCAAUUACGAAGGCAGCUUACUAUAUAAUUAUUGACACUGAGGCACGAAAGCGUGGGUAGCGAACA